rnacentral:lncRNA from 1 species
UCCUCAUGGCUAAGCCAAGCAGCACUAAGGCAAAAAGGCGGAGACAAACGAAUGUGAUUGUUAGGAUUUUUCGAGAAUUGGAGAAUCCAGUCUUCAUUGCUAAUAGCUUUAUCAAGGCCGAAACACAGCGAUCCCCAAUUGUAAGUAAAACACGGACCUAAAAAACCCAUGUCAAACAAGUCACAUGUAUCCAUUUAAGUUUUAAAGUAUUCAGCUUGUGGAACCGAAAAAUCGACACCCCUGUUUGUCCCGAGCAGAGAUAGAAGCAUUGAAAUCUCCCAUUACGAGCCAGGGUCAAUCAACUUCCGGAAAGGCAUCGACUAAACCAUCCUAGAGAGUGAUACAAUCCUGAUGUCUCAGAGUACUGAGGAUGUCCAUCCCAAGCAAUCUGGCAAUGAGCCACUUGCAACGAGUGACGAGGAACGGUAACCUAGACUGUACUGUUAUUCCAGAGAAUCCAAAUGCCGCUAGACCGCCCCAUCGCAUCCACCAUGAAGCUGUCGGAGAAAGGAAGUUUUUGAAUAACAUCAAGCGCACGAUCGUCGCUGAUUUUCGGUUCCAGGACAGCCACAACACUAAGGGGAUAGACCUGGAAAUAAUGUAACAUAACGAUAAUAAAAUUUUGCUGACCGGCAUCCCGACAAUUCCAAGAGAGAAACUAAUCAUUAAGAAAAGAAAGAGGGAAGAACGAAGGAACCCGAGAAAAUUAGAAGGAAAGUAAGGCUGAUGAAACAGCUUCCGUCUUCCCCCCAGAAUCGUAUGUUUCCUCCGAACUCAAGCUUUCUUGUUAUGGCUGAUUCAAAUUGAAAGUAACUUGGCCAUGAAUCCCAGUAGCUUCCACUGGUUUAGCCUUUAAUUUCAUAUUUGCCGCAGCUUUCGAUUUUUU